CCAUUUAGUGGGGAAUAACUGUUGGAAACGACAGCUAAUACCGCAUAAUAUUGCUGGAUAAUUUCCAGUAAUGAAAGGAGCUUUCAAGCUCCGCUGAUUGAUGAGGAUGCGGCGCAUUAGCUAGUUGGUAGGGUAAUGGCCUACCAAGGCAAUGAUGCGUAGCCGAUCUGAGAGGAUGAACGGCCACAUUGGGACUGAGACACGGCCCAAACUUCUACGGAAGGCAGCAGUAGGGAAUUUUUCACAAUGGGCGAAAGCCUGAUGGAGCAAUGCCGCGUGACUGAUGAAGGUCUUCGGAUUGUAAAGGUCUGUUGUAAGGGAAGAAAUGGUAAAACAGGAAAUGGUUUUAUCUAUGACGGUACCUUACCAGAAAGCCACGGCUAACUAUGUGCCAGCAGCCGCGGUAAUACAUAGGUGGCAAGCGUUAUCCGGAUUUAUUGGGCGUAAAGGGUGCGUAGACGGUUUUGCAAGUCUGAGGUUAAAUUUAGGAGCUCAACUCCUAAUCGCCUUGGAAACUACAAGACUAGAGUAUAGGAGAGGUUAGUGGAAUUCCAUGUGUAGCGGUGGAAUGUGUAGAUAUAUGGAGGAACACCAGUGGCGAA
rnacentral:rRNA from 1 species